UCACAGUGUUUUAAUUCUAAACACGAAGUGCGGUGAAGCCAUAUCGUCACCUCUAAGUUGAUUGUGGAAAAAGACGGGAAUUCUUAGAUCUACAUUUAGUCACAGUGUUAUUGGUGUAGGCAUAUCGUCACCUUCAAGUUGUUUCUGCAAUAUGAUGUUGACUGUUGUUACGUUGAUGUUGACCAAUGUUACGUUGAUGUUGAUUUGAUAUUUUCAUAUAUAGAUAAAUUAAAGAAAAGAGAUAUAUAUUUCAUUAAAUGUUAAUGUUUCGAUAGCAUGAAUGUGAACCCCAACCCAGCAUGCUACUUGUCGUUUCGGAAGACAAAUACUAUGUUGUUGUAGGGGGGUGAGCCCUGUUGUCUGGCGGCCCAAAUGUUGAUGUUGAUUGUGAAAUACAUUUAUCUGACCAUUGUGGCCAAAAUCUGCCAUGCAAUAACAAAAACUUUAAAUGUGUUUUUAAUUUUGAAAAGAUUUAUAAACAAUGUUGCAAAUAAAAGCAUAGGGCUCAUUUAAACCCAUGAAUAUUAUGGAUGCCUGGGUAGGAUAUCCCAUAAGGCAUACAAGCUUUGAUAACUAUAUAUUAAACAAUCUUCACAUGUUUUUCCAUUUAAAUCUUUUACUUAUAGAUGGACAAAGAAGCCCAAAUGCAGAAAAUCCCAAGACAGAUAGCAUAGAAGAGGACAUAAUACAUAUGACUGAUUUAGUACCAACUCCGUCUGAAAAAGAUAGACGAAGAGGCUCAAGUGAAGAGAAUCCCAAAACAG